GUUCUUGCUUGAUCAUGAUUGCAUGAAUAGGAAUUAUUUAGUGUCGUGAUCAUGCCUUUCAUAUGUGAUUUAUGGUACGUCUCAUGUUAGCUUUUUUUUUCAACAUAUGCAAUAUUCACAUAUAAGUUGAGUAAUAUAGGAAAAUUUUAGUACUUACAACAAAACAUUUUUUCUACGAUAUUUGUUUAAAAGUAGCCAAAUAAAUUUUAAAUAUGAGUUUUUGCUUGAUUCUGAUUGCAUGAAUAGGAAUUCUCUAGCGCCGUGAUCAGACCUUUAAUAUGGGAUCUAUAUAUGAUGAUGUGAAUUUGCAUGUAUCCCAUGGAUAUUAGGAAUGUCCUUGGCAUUUGGGGUGGAUUACCGGUGGUGGUGGUGGUUUGGCCUUACAAGGGGGUACAACUUAUAAUGAUGAGUUCCAUCAAAAAUGUACAAGGGUUUCUUGCUGUCUUUCAACCCGAAUGUCAUCCAAGCAUUUU